AGAUGACUAAGACUGGCGUUGAAGAGGAAGGCCUGGCUGUUUUUGGGAUGAUGGAGGAAGCGGAGGGGGUGGAAGAAGGAAAGAUGGAGGAGAAAGCAGAGGAGAAGGUGGCUGAGGCAGAAUUGGGGGUUUUGUGCAGCUUUGAGGGUAUGCCUGGGUCAUACUUGUCACCUCCAGAGAAUAUGGAGGCUCUGCCACAGGAAGCUGAGCCCCAAUCUCCGACCUUCACUGCUGAACAUGAGCCCCACCUUGCCACCAGCAUGACCAAACGUGAGCCAACCCUCACUGUUGAACAUGAGCCCCACCUUGCCUCCCACAUGACCAAACCUGAGCCAACUGUCACUGCUGAAAAUGGGCCCCACCUUGCCACCCCCAUGGAUGAACACAAGCCCUGCCCUGACGGCUCCACUGCUGAAGGUCACAUAAAGGUCACUGACAGGAUAGCGGGACAGAAGAAGGUGUUCUGGAAGAGGCAGAAGGCAAAGCCCAAAAUGCAGACGGCAGAGGCUGCCGGGAAGGAAGGUGGCCCCCAAAACACUCUGGCCCCAUUUCGUCUUCAGGACUUCAUGUGCUUCAAAAUUUCUAAAUGUUACACUGUCCUGCUCCUACUUGUGUUAUUGGCAUUUCCCGUGAACAGCAAUGAGACUCCCAAACAAAGUAAGUAGUACUGAGUGUAAUCCUAUACAUAACUACCCACUUUUUUUCUUCCUGUCAACACUUUCUCCCUCCAAGAAGAGAGGUUUGUCACCUCGCUGGCCUUCUACUGUGGAAAUUAACUGCACGAGGACACAGCGUCAUUAAUGUGAAGCACCACUCUUAUGUAGCACUAGCUCCCCCUUGUGGAGAAUCUUCAGCUUGCUAAACAUGAAUGAGUGAGUGUGUGAGUGAGUUACAAGCCAGCUUUGCAUCUAAUAAACCUUAUGUAAUCAAACGAGCUACUAACAUUAUAUUAAUAAGCAAUAUCACCUCAGUUAAUGGAGAAUUAUGGUAAGUGACACGAAAAGGAAUUAAAUUAAAGGUUUUAAAGUGGCUUGUGCUGUUCAGCAGUUGGCCAUGCUUUAUUAGGAAACCAUCCAGAGGUUUCCAACAGUUUAUUGAGGCUGAUCUCACUCCCACCCACACAAACCCCACGCUUAUUUGGUCUUGGGUGUGCUGUCAUGACUGAUGGGAACCCUGUGCUAUUCUCUCUAAUCUGUGCAUAAACCCCGUCCCUGGAAAGUAAGACUUUCUGUUUUCAUGUCACAGGAAUGUGCGCAGUUUGCUUGGAAAAGGACUGCGCAAAUGGUGUGACAAGAAUCUACCCAGCAGGCAGCGACAUAGCAAUUUGGUCAAAAGCAAACUCCCCAACUGGAAUCCAAAACUGCUCCAUGGAGAAUCUAAAGCCAGAUGCUCCCUGUAAGAUGGCUAAUGGUAGCCUCGUCCUACCGGCUGACAACCCCCUUCAAUUUGAAGGGGCGAAAAUAUUCAACUCACAGAGUUUGCCCUGCGAUAAGCUUAAUCUGCCUCCCAGUUCCACGCCUUCCCCCGUGGCGGACAACAAAGGCAUCAUCAUCGGCAUCAUCAUCGGCAGCGUCAUCGGCAGCAUCAUCUUCAUCGGCUUUAUCGGAUUUUUGAUUUGGAAGCUUUACAUCCGUCUAAGAGGGCUGUACAGAGGCCGUCGUCAAGAGAACAACGGGGUGCCUCCUGAUGAGAUCAUCGUCCAGAUGCAGCCUCUUAAGGAAGAAGUUGCAAACGGAAACGUUAACGGGGUCCAUUGAGAGGAUGACAGCGUUGGGACUGCAGGAUAACUGAAAUCACGGCCCUCACCCCUGCAGCCGUUCUACAUUCCAUCCCCGGUUCUUUUGGGAUAUCUGCUGUCUUUUGGUUUUUGCCUUUCGGAUCGCUUUGGGACAAAAAGCUGUGGCUUGCUAUCUUCUCUCAUUCAUUUAUUGUGUGACUGUCCAUGUCUGUAACUUCUGUUAACCGUUUUAAGGUAGUUGAACCUCGUCUUUUGACGUGAAUACUUGUAGAUUUAACUAAGCCUGCCUUUCAAUAAACAAUGUUCUUUACACUAGGGCUAAGAGUCUGUGGUUGUUGCAGUUAUUUCUGUGGGGAACCCUGAAAAGGGCCAAACUCUCAGUGCUGUAUAGGUAUGGGGCUUUCCCCGUCAAGUAGUAAUUUGGCUGGAUGGCAUACCUUCCAUCCCAAUUUUGUUUUAGCAAUGUUACUUAAUAUCUAGGAAUAGCUAAGCCUGCCUUUUAAUAAACAAUCUUCUUCACACUGAA